UACAGAGGUCUCAAGCGUUGUUCGGAUUCAUUGGGCGUAAAGGGUGCGUAGGUGGCGCCGUAAGUCGGGUGUGAAAUUUCGGAGCUCAACUCCGGAACUGCCCUUGAAACUGCAGUGCUAGAAUCCUGGAGAGGCGAGUGGAAUUCCGAGUGUAGAGGUGAAAUUCGUAGAUAUUCGGAAGAACACCAGUGGCGAAGGCGACUCGCUGGACAGGUAUUGACGCUGAGGUGCGAAAGCGUGGGGAGCAAACAGG
rnacentral:rRNA from 1 species